GCUUCCCUCUACGUGUCUGUACGUAGCUUGCUCCGCUGUUUAUAUUGCGGUGCCAUGCACUUGCAAGUUAUAGCUGCGCGUCAGGAAAGUGUAACGAUAUCUGCCUAUGGCAGUAUUGCUCAGAGUGCUGUCAGCACCCUCUGUUGUAUUUUUCCGCGCCAGCAGCGUUUUGCAUCUCGGCCGGGCGAGUUGGGGCCCGUCAGGUCACUCGCCGCGGCUCGGGACUUCCUUCUCCCCCUGACCGCCGUCUGGUGAGGUCACGGGGCGACGUUCCUCUACUCUCGCCUAUCUCUUGGCACCACGCGGUUUUCCUCCUGCUGGAGUGUGGGGAUCCUGGGCUUCGCCACUUCGGGAUACAGCCCACACCGGGUCUCAGUUUGGGUGUGUCGAGUCCGCGGCGGCCUCUUUCUGAAAGCCGCAUCUACCGCCGACAUCACGCGCCUGAUGAGAGGACCCACGGCAGGAAGGACAAGCUGCAGCCACCUCGAGCAAGGCUGUGCAACGAGCCUCUACUCUUCUCCCUCCGCACCAAGUUAAGUAGCUAGUUGUUAGUGUAGCCAGGGCAGGUUAGUCUUGUGCGAGCACGAGUAACGCUAGGCUCAGCUGAGUGUGUAUGUGAGAUUUGUCUGUGUUUUCUUUGUGUGUAAUAAAGUUAGUGCAUAGUUGUA